rnacentral:rRNA from 1 species
UCCCUUAGGUGUUCUGGGCAGCACGCGCGCUACAAUGGUCUUCGCAAACGGAUGCAUUCUCGAAGGAGAAUGCCAAUCUUGGAAUCUAUGCCUUGGUCGGGACAGUUGCUUGCAAUUUUUCGACUCGAACCAGGAAUUCCUUGUAAUCGUGAUUCAUCACAUCACGAUGAAUACGUCCCUGCCCUUUGUACACACCGCCCGUCGCUCCUACCGAUCGAAGAGUUAGGUGAAUUGUUUUGAUCGAUAAGAUUUGACUAUGGUCAACUCUCGUUGUGAAAUUCUGUGAAUCUGACUGUUUAGAGGAAGGAAAAGUCGUAACA